rnacentral:lncRNA from 1 species
UAGCAAUAGGGUUUUUGUUUCCCUUUUUUUUUUAAGAAAAAAAAUGGGGGGCCUAGAAAAAAAGCUUACAAGGCCCUACCCCUGCGCCAGCGAGUCGGGGCCCUCGGGGCUACCUGGACGCUCGGCCAGGACCUCAGUGAGUCCAGAACAUACUGAGGGAAAGGGCCGCUCGGAAAGAUCUAGGAAUGAACACCCAUCCUCACACCCCAGGAGUGCCUUGGUUUCAGCUUGUUUCAGGAAAGCAGCUGGAACAUUAAUGGCAAUUCCACUUUCCCAUUCAUCGCCCCCGCCCCCACCACCCCACCAAGAAACUCAGUGGGAAUGAAUGGUCUACACAGAGAAACUGAAAUCUGGUUAGUCAAGAAGGAAAAAACAACCAAGUGCCUGGCAUUAAGAGGAUUUUUUUUUUAAGCUCAGCCUAUGGACAACAAAAGCAUGGACUGUAUUUCUCAGCAUCUUUUGCAGGAUGAGGAAACUGGAGCCCAGGUAGCCAUUUUGGACCUGAAGGUGGAAGUCAAGCUAGGGAGAGCAAACAACACGUGUGUGGAUCCCUGAUGAUCAGGUCAUCCUAAUCCUGAACUGCUUUCCUCUGGUCUCUUUAACAGGAGAGACCAGAGGAAAACCAUGAGAGAGAGGUAAUUUUCUAUCCCACUUAAGCCACUAUUGUACUUUGGACUUUCUUGUCAUGUACAGCCAAGCCUAAUUAUAACUAAUAAAACAUGCAAUUGAAAGACAAAAAUUUGAACAAGAUUAUUUUUUCCUUGAAAAUUGACAUGGAUGGUCUGCCACUGUGGGCUUUAUCUUCAACAUCGUCUCACCCUUCUUAUUAAUAACACAAGUUAUCCACUUGUAAACUGCUGUUUUUUUGGGGCUAUCCACUUGUAAACUGCUGUUUUUUUGGGGGCACUGUCACCAUAAACUUUUGAUAAGGCAUCAGUGAUUUCAACAUUCUUCACCCAAGCUUCACCAUAAAUUUGAUGUUUCUUUUUGCUUCAUUUUAGCAGAAUUUGUUCCAAUAGGGGCUCUUUUCGAACUGAUUUUUUUUUUCAUUUUUUUCCACUGGGAUUUUGAGAAAAUCAAACUGAUAGCCUUCUUAGUGCCUCAAACUAGAUCCUGUUCAGACACAAACAAGUUACUUAUUGUUGAAAGUCCAGUGAGCUACCUCAGGCUUUUCUCUGUGGAAUGACUGUUGCAGAGAACUGCACCUCAGAAGAAUGGAGGUUAAAACUGUGAUGACAUUCUACCUCAUUGAAGAAAUCCUCCAGUGCCAAGGGUGGAUCUCUAAAGAAGGAUUCAAUCCAGGAUCACAUCUUAUAUUUACAAUAACAUGCCUUUUUUCUCCUUCAGUCUGGAACCGUGUCUCAGUCUAUCUUUGUUCUUUAUGACAUUGACAUAUUUUAAAGAAUAAAAGCCAAUUCUUUUAUGCACCAUCU